UACAGAGGUGGCAAGCGUUGUUCGGAAUUACUGGGCGUAAAGGGCGCGUAGGUGGCCUUCUUAGUCAGACGUGAAAUCCCCAGGCUUAACCUGGGAACUGCGUCUGAUACUGGAAGGCUCGAGUUCGGGAGAGGAAUGUGGAAUUCCAGGUGUAGCGGUGAAAUGCGUAGAUAUCUGGAGGAACACCGGUGGCGAAGGCGGCAUUCAGGACCGAAACUGACGCUGAGGCGCGAAAGCCAGGGGAGCAAACGGG
rnacentral:rRNA from 1 species